rnacentral:rRNA from 1 species
UACAGAGGUCCCAAGCGUUGUUCGGAUUCACUGGGCGUAAAGGGUGCGUAGGCGGUCGGGUAAGUCUGAUGUGAAAUCUCACAGCUUAACUGUGAAACUGCAUUGGAUACUAUCCGGCUAGAGGAAUGGAGGGGAGACUGGAAUACUUGGUGUAGCAGUGAAAUGCGUAGAUAUCAAGUGGAACACCAGUGGCGAAGGCGAGUCUCUGGACAUUUCCUGACGCUGAGGAGCGAAAGCGUGGGGAGCGAACAGG